GAUGAAGAACGCAGCGAAAUGCGAUAAUUAAUGUGAAUUGCAGAAUUUAGUGAAUCAUCGAAUCUUUGAACGCACAUUGCGCCCCCUGGUAUUCCGGGGGGCAUGCCUGUCCGAGCGUCAUUGCUGCCCUCAAGCACGGCUUGUGUGUUGGGCCUCCGUCCUCCUCCCGGGGGACGGGCCCGAAAGGCAGCGGCGGCACCGCGUCCGGUCCUCGAGCGUAUGGGGCUUCGUCACCCGCUCUUGUAGGCCCGGCCGGCGCUUGCCGACACAUCAAUCUUUUUUCCAGGUUGACCUCGGAUCAGGUAGGGAUACCCGCUGAACUUAAGCAUAUCAAUAAGCGGAGGA
rnacentral:misc_RNA from 1 species